CCUCGAACUCCUGACCUCAGGUGAUCCACC
rnacentral:piRNA from 1 species